rnacentral:lncRNA from 1 species
CCAGGUCUAGAAGUCACUAAUACAAGCCACUAAAAUGCAGAACCAAAAGAAAGUUUGAGUCUUUUAAAAUGCAAAAAAUGCAUAAGAACAAGGCUGAAGGAGAUUUCAGUAGCCUCUAAAGCCAGUAGCAGCUACCUUGAAUCUCCAAUGAUGCUAGGAAAGAAGGAAUCGACGGAUCAAUAGCUGGAGGCCAUCGGAUCU